rnacentral:rRNA from 1 species
CCUAUCUGCCGUGGGCGCUGGAGAACUGAGGGGGGCUGCUCCUAGUACGAGAGGACCGGAGUGGACGCAUCACUGGUGUUCGGGUUGUCAUGCCAAUGGCACUGCCCGGUAGCUAAAUGCGGAAGAGAUAAGUGCUGAAAGCAUCUAAGCACGAAACUUGCCCCGAGAUGAGUUCUCCCUGAGACUUUAAGUCUCCUGAAGGAACGUUGAAGACGACGACGUUGAUAGGCCGGGUGUGUAAGCGCAGCGAUGCGUUGAGCUAACCGGUACUAAUGAACCGUGAGGCUUAACCUUACAACGCCGAAG